rnacentral:lncRNA from 1 species
GAGAGUCUCACCUCAGUUUCAUGGGCGAGAUUGGCCCUUGUGGAGUUUGAGUCCAACCCAGAAGAAACAAGGAAGCCUGGGUCUUCUCCAAGUGUUGCAGCAAGCUGGCCUGGGGUCCCCCCAAAGGUAGCCAGAGACAAGCCCAGGAUCACCCAGUCUGCAGCAGGGUGCAAAGGUUUGGGGGUCCCCCACAAAGGCAGCCAGAGCCAAGCCCAGGGUCCCCCGAGCAUCAGCAAGAUCUACACCUGGAGUCACCUCAAAGACAGCCAGAGUCUAGCUCCAAAUCCCCACAAUGUCAGCCAAAGCCAAGUGAGGAGGCACCACGGUGUUCUCAGGGCCAGGGAGAACCAGCCUCCGAGUGGGCCCAGAGUCCAGAGGAGCUGACUCGGGGGGUGGGGGUGGCAUGAGCACCUAUACCCGGGCCCAGGAUCACCAGAGCCUUACCCCAGUCAGCAGGUGCCGAGUUCAGAGCCGUCACGGCCAGUACGGGAGCUGACACCCAAGGCACCUGGCUCCCUGCUGGGGUCAGCAGGAGCCAAGCAAGCUGCCUCUAGCUGGGGAGAGGUAACAGGCGGCCAUGGGGCAAAGAAGGAAAAAGGUUCUUCAGUCCAGGCUCCAGUAUCCAAGAAGUCGAAGGAGGAGGAGGAGGAGUUUCCUAUAAUCCAGAAGGGGAAGCCCACAUUGCGGGAGGAUGUGGAAGGACUACUGCAAGAAAAAGUUAUCCCAGAUGGUUCAGGACAAGCCCCUGCACACAUCCUGGCAGUGGAAGAUGAAGGAACAGCAGGAAAGGAAGCUUGCCAAGGAUUCUGCCCCUAACCUGGAGGAGGAGAAGGAAAGGCACUGCCAGGAGAAGAAACAGCGCUGGGCCCAAGAACCUGAAACAUCACCUAUAGAACGAGUGGAAGGCAGAGAUUGUCCAAGUGAUCCAAAGCCCCACCAAGCUCAAGCUGGUGAGGACACAGCAGCUGUGCUCCACUGAGAAGCGGGACACCCUGCCCCUGCUGCAGAAGCAGCCAUCCCAGCAGCCAGCAGGCAAGG